rnacentral:misc_RNA from 1 species
GAUGAAGAACGUAGCUAAAUGCGAUAAGUAAUGUGAAUUGCAUAAUUCAGUGAAUCAUCGAGUCUUUGAACGCACAUUGCGCCCCCUGGUAUUCCGGGGGGCAUGCCUGUCCGAGCGUCAUUGCUGCCCUCAAGCACGGCUUGUGUGUUGGGCCGUCGUCCCCCUCCUAGGGGACGGGCCCGAAAGGCAGCGGCGGCACCGCGUCCGGUCCUCGAGCGUAUGGGGCUUCGUCACCCGCUCCGUAGGCCCGGCCGGCGCUUGCCGACGACCAUCAAUCUCUUUCUCCAGGUUGACCUCGGAUCAGGUAGGGAUACCCGCUGAACUUAAGCAUAUCAAUAAGCGGAGGA